UUCCGGUUGAUCCCGCCGGAGAUCACUGCUAUUGGAAUUCGGUUAAGGCAUGCGAGUCGAGAGGGUUCGGCCCUCGGCAGACGGCUCAGUAACACGUGGAUAAUCUGCCCUUAGGUGGGGGAUAAUCUCGAGAAAUUGAGCAUAAUACCCCAUAGUUCUAGAUUACUGGAAUGCUUUUAGAAUGAAAGCUCCGGCGCCUAAGGAUGAGUCUGCGGCCUAUCAGGUUGUAGUGAGUGUAACUGACUCACUAGCCGACGACGGGUACGGGUCCUGGAAGGGAGUGCCCGGAGAUGGACUCUGAGACACGAGUCCAGGCCCUACGGGGCGCAGCAGCUACGAAAACUUCACAAUGCGGGAAACCGCGAUGAGGGGAUUCCAAGUGCUUAUACUUUGUAUAAGCUGUUUACUUGCCUAAAAAGCAGGUAGAGUAAGGGCUGGGUAAGACUGGUGCCAGCCGCCGCGGUAAUACCAGCAGCUCAAGUGGUGAUCGUUUUUAUUGGGCCUAAAGCGUCCGUAGCCGGUUUGGUAAACCCUUGGGUAAAUCGGGCAGCUUAACUGUCCGACUUCUGAGGAGACUGCUAGACUUGGGACCGGGAGAGGUCAGAGGUACUCUUAGGGUAGGGGUGAAAUCCUGUAAUCCUAAGAGGACCACCAGUGGCGAAGGCGUCUGACUAGAACGGGUCCGACGGUAAGGGACGAAGCCCUGGGUCACGAACCGGAUUAGAUACCCGGGUAGUCCAGGGUGUAAACGCUGCGGGCUUGGUGUUGGGGGUCCUACGAGGGCGUCCAGUGCCGGAGAGAAGUUGUUAAGCCCGCCGCCUGGGGAGUACGGUCGCAAGACUGAAACUUAAAAGGAAUUGGCGGGGGAGCACAGCAACGGGUGGAGCGUGCGGUUUAAUUGGAUUCAACGCCGGGA
rnacentral:rRNA from 1 species